rnacentral:rRNA from 1 species
UGGGAAUUUUGGACAAUGGGGGCAACCCUGAUCCAGCCACGCCGCGUGAAUGAUGAAGGCCUUCGGGUCGUAAAGUUCUUUUAGUUGGGAAAAACACAAUGAUGGUACCAACAGAAAAAGCACCGGCUAACUCCGUGCCAGCAGCCGCGGUAAUACGGAGGGUGCAAGCGUUGCUCGGAAUUAUUGGGCGUAAAGCGUAUGUAGGCGGUUUUCUAAGUCUGAUGUGAAAUCCCGGGGCUUAACCCCGGAACUGCAUUGGAUACUGGAAAGCUAGAGGACGAUAGAGGAUGGUGGAAUUCCAGGUGUAGGGGUGAAAUCCGUAGAUAUCUGGAGGAACAUCAGUGGCGAAGGCGGCCAUCUGGAUCGUACCUGACGCUGAGAUACGAAAGCGUGGGGAGCAAAC